rnacentral:rRNA from 1 species
CCUACGGGGUGCUGCAGUGGGGAAUAUUGCACAAUGGGGGAAACCCUGAUGCAGCAACGCCGCGUGAGUGAAGAAGUAUUUCGGUAUGUAAAGCUCUAUCAGUAGGGAAGAAGAAAGACGGUACCUGACUAAGAAGCCCCGGCUAACUACGUGCCAGCAGCCGCGGUAAUACGUAGGGGGCAAGCGUUAUCCGGAUUUACUGGGUGUAAAGGGAGCGUAGACGGCUGUGCAAGUCUGAAGUGAAAGCCCGUGGCUCAACCGCGGAACUGCUUUGGAAACUGUAUAGCUUGAGGACUGGAGAGGGAGGCGGAAUUCGGGGGGUAGCGGUGAAAUGCGUAGAUAUUAGGAGGAACACCAGGGGAGAAGGCGGCCUGCUGGACAGAAACGGACGUGGAGGCUCGAAAGCGUGGGGAGCAAACAGGAUGAGAUACCCUUGUAGUC